GGCCUUAGGGUGGUAAUCAUGUUGAAUUGCAAAUUCAAAGGUGUAGAUAAUAGUUCUACUGAGGCUU
rnacentral:tRNA from 1 species